AUAUUUUGCAUGGACAAAAAGUCUCAAAAUUUGCAGGCGGGGGCAGGGCGGGUUGAAUGCAACAGAUUUCCCACUCCUUCUCUCCAAAACCUUGAAUGAAACAGGUGUGUGUGUCUGUGUGUUUUGCAGGCCGUGCAAGGGGAAGUGAAAAUUACUAGACAACAGCCUCUGUAUGACCUUUGGAUGUUUACUAUCCUUGUCUUCUCUCUCUCUUGGGGUUUUAUAUGCGUGUGUACAUAAGUGAAGGAGGUGAGGUGGUUAAAGGGUUUGCUGUGGUGGUGUUUUUUUGUGUGUUUUUUAAAGCCUCCUUAACCAGGAAGCAGCUACAAGAAAAGCUAAUCAAACGCCAGCUGAGGAAAAGUGCACUAGUUCAGCGCAUUCAAUAAUUAUCACCGCAUAUGCUCCCGGCACGAAUGUAUUGGUAUAUGUUGCUACCAAUAUUGCUCCUUAUUCCAGAGCAGGCAUGGACAAUUUCUGCAUUUCACAGACUAAAUAUGAUGUGAGGGAUCCAUGGUCAGUUCUCCAGAUAUAUUUUCCUUUGCCUAAAAACAAUCCAGGAGGAAGGGGAGAAUGGGGUCAGGAGGAAUAGGGUUGUGGUUGGGAGACCAGUUAAUCCUUUCCCCACACAUUUCCCUGUCCGUUCCCCCCAAAUAUUAUUAACCAUGAAGAGAAUUUUUUUGAGAAUUUUCUUUUUCUCACCCACCUCCCCUCAGAAAAUGAAAGCCAUAAAAAGCUGUUUUUAAAAAAUCCCCCAAGUAUUCCUCACCAUCUUUUUUGUUUGUGUGUGAUGGCCACCAUAUUUUCCUCACAGUGCCUUGGAAGGACUCCAGGUCAAGGACAUUGUGGAGGAUUCAAAAUGGCGGCCAUUUUGCUUCUGUUGUCAUUGGCAGCAGCAAAAAACAACGUUAGGUUAAAAAUAUAAAAAGUUUGCUACUCCCACGGCUAAUGGUGAGCCCAUACACACACAUCCCCCCCCACACACACAUUCCCAAUAAAUGGUUGAAGAAUUUCUCCUCAGUCUGGAGAAAGGUGGUAAAAUCACCCACCCAACUUCUUUGCCCACUAAUAGGACAGAGAAUUUCAAGAGGCCAUUAAGAGCACAGUUCUAACAGGUACUUACUUGAUUUUACCUCAAGCCUAUUAGCAGCUUGAGAAGACUGAUUGCAGUCGUGUUCCUAGUUUCCUGAGUAUUAGCCCCAUGAAACUCAAGAGGACUUGCUUUUGAGGAGACAUGUAGAGGAUUGGGCUCCUUAUAGUCAGGGAAUUAGCCCAGACAGAGAAAAGAAAUGGCUAAAAAAACCAAAAACCCUUCCCUCAGCAUCACCUCUUAAGCCAAAAUACCCUUCCUCCAGUAGCACCUUCCACCAUUCCGCCAGUUCAUCUCUGGGAGGAAUGCAGGCAACUGUAUUGUUCUUGACAUUUCCUAACCUCCAACAAGGCUAUUUAUCUAUAACACUUGUAUAUCGCCUUUUCUUCUGGGGUCCUGUACAUGGUUCUCCACCCCUCCCUGUUUUAUCCCCUCAGCAACCCUGCGAGGUAGGUUAGCCUGAGAGGUUGGCCCAAGGUCAUCCGGUAAGCUUCACGGCUGAGUGGGGAUUUAUAACCUAGCCUCCCAGGCCCUCAUCCUGCACUCUCAACUUUUCUACCACAUUGGUUAUCAGAGGGAGAAAAUGCCACAGAAACAGUGUGGGUGUGAAUGUGUGUUUAAUAAUAAUAUUUUUUUUCUUUUUAAAAGAAACCUCCCCUCCACUCCCUGACUUGGCCACCAUCACAGGCCAUUUUGAACAAAAGAAGUUACAUGUAAUUUGACCCCCGUCCCCAUGAGCCAUUCUGUUCUCCAGAGAUUGGUCCGGGGGCCACCAGUGUACUUUCCAGCUCACUCCAAUUGUUUCAUAGGUGCUCAGAAUGUAUAAUAAAAUGGGUGCUGCUUAACAGUACAGUCAUACCUCAUGUUACGUUUUUUCAGGUUGCGUCCCGCAGCGACCCGGAAGUACCAGAAAGGGUUACUUCCAGGUUUCACUGCAGUAGCGAUAAAUCACACUUCGCGCAUGCGCACAAGCACCAAAUCACGCUGCGCACCUGCACAGAUACAGCGCUUCAGGUUGCAGGCUUUUCAUCUUGCAAACAGGCCUCCAGAACGGAUCCUGUUCGCAACCAGAGGUACCACUGUAAAAGUUUCACAACGAUAAAACAUGUGCACCCAGGUAUGGCCAAGGUAAUAGUUUUUGGUGUUUUUUGCAGGGGUAGGGCAUUCAUGUAAAGAUGUUAAAUUUGACAAAUCUUCCUUUCAACCCUUGAACAGUCAUUUUCUUUUCCUUGUUUUUGUUGGCAUCUGUCUGUCUCGAGAGACAAUGGAGUACGCCUCUGGGGGUGCAGUCAAACCGCUGCAUUAGCAGCAUCUCAGUGACCUCCCUGGGGCACAAGCCUGGGCAGUAUUUGUGGAGGUCCUGGGCUGCCUAGACAACAAGACCUCCAUCUCAGCCUCACUGAUGUGGCCCAAAAAAAAGCACAGCAAUACAUUUGGCACCAGCUUGCCUGUCACCCAAGGUGCCACCCAAAUGUCUUUUUGUAUAGGGUUUACUCCUCAGCCCUUACUUCUCCUGAAGAUAUCUGGCAAGGCAAUAGAGGUUUAGGAUCAGAGUUUUCCUUCUCCUAGAGGGGCUACCUUUCCAGGUUGAUGAGCCCCAUCUGCCCCUCACUUCCCUCUACAGCAUUUGUAGUAAUCACCUUCUUGACCAUUGGACCUACUAUUAGUCUCAUCUGCUCAAUCCACAUGCAAUUUGGGGAAUUCCCUUACUCACUGAGGGUUUGAGGCACAUUGGCUACCCUCACCUGGUUUAGCCAGCCAGCUAAAGCAUGCAUAGGCCAACUUGGCCCUCCAGAUGUUUUGAGACUAGAGUUCCCAUCAUCCCUGACCACUGGUCCUGUUAGCUAGGGAUGGUGGGAGUUGUAGUCCCAAAACAUCUGGAGGGCCAAGUUUGCCUAUGCCUGAGUUAAAGCCAUUCCCGGUGUGUGGCCUCUGUCACAUGUUGACAGCUUCCAGGAGCCACAGGUGAGAGCUGAAUGAAGAGUGGGGACCAAAUGUACACAAAUUACCCCAGAAGCAGCACAAUGCGUCCCCCAACAGAGGUACUGUCCACCCCUUAACACACCAUAUGCCCUUCUAAGCAAAUAAAAUUUGUUAUAACUACCCCCGAUCUGGAGAAAAUCAUUUUCUUCUUCAGUUGGUCAUCCAUCCCUGUUUUGAAAGCAUCGCCCCACAUUCCACAGCAUCAGCGACCAACGUACCAGAAUGGAUGUCAUUUAUUGGAAAUGAUUUUUUUCUUCAUAGAACCGCACAGCAACUUCCUUUCAUUACGGAAAUUUGGUCGGGCAUUUCUGGAUAGCGAAGAAAUAAGAUACGAGUAUAUCAUAGUCAUUAAAAAGAACAAGAUUUUCCACUGAAAAUCCAAACCAAACCAAGCUGAAAUACGUGAAACUACAUGUCCUUCCCCAGUUACCACCGUCUCUUCACCAUUUCUCAUCCCCAUUGGAGUUCAGAUUGUAAGCUCUUUGUGGCAGGGCCCUAAAUAUUUUUGGUGUUUGUUGUUCUGUAAAGUUCCACAGCACUGACCCUGAUCUAGCCAAAGCUAGUCAUACCUACAUUCUGCCAACAUGAAUGGAAUUGAACCCAACUAUGAUUAGGUUAUAAUGUUGGCCAACAUUAGAGGGAUGUUGUAAGGAUCACUGACAUCAUGAAGCGCUUUGAGCAAUGAACAGCCCAAUUCCUACCAUGUUUACUCAGAAGCAAUUCCCCUGAGUUCAGUGGCAUUUAUUUCCCAGUAAGCACAUUUAAAAAUAGCCUCCUAGGAAAAAAUGCUAUAGAUGCAGUGGAAUCUGGUGUGAUGAAGGGCAAAAUAGAUGGUCUUUUAUCAGGCAAGCUGUCCAUGCUUGUCCAGCUACAAAUAUUGCUUUGUGUAUUUUGUAGUUCUUGUUGUCUUAGACCAACUUAAAAGCAUUGCCUUACACCAAACUGAUAUAGUGCAGAAGAUUCCUGGAAUGCUCAGCAAACUUUGCCUUCUCUGUUUCAUAUACUCAAAUGUUGCAUAUACUGCAAUAAUUAAAUAAACAAGGGCAGUAGUGAAAAUUAUUUAAGUUUUUUUAAAAAUAAAACAAAGUUUGGAUGUUUUUACCAUUGUGAAUGCAGAUGGCAAAGACAAUGAGCUCAGAGUCUCAUUUAAUCGUGAUUCAUAAAUUAAUGUUAUCUUUCAUCAUUCCAGAUUCCACGCAGUCUGUUUGCAAUUCGAGCUCUUGCACUCAGGAGUGGGGGUGAGGGAAGGAAGCUUAAAAAAAAAAAAAUUAAGAAAAGGAGAAGUGAUAUUUGUUUGUUCUCAGUUUUUGCUAGUUGCUGAAUGAGUCUCAUUUUGCAACCCUGAAUGAAAUGAAUCAUUCCUGGCACAGGAAAAUCACACCUACUCGGGUCAAUUGCUUACCACAAAUGAUUGUGUAUGAUUUCUCAAGGCCCUGAUCAUUCUGAGAUUGUAUGUCUAACUUUUAUGCAUCUCAGUACCCUAGUGACUUCAUUAACUUUACAUUUGUACUGGAAUUUUCAGCUGGAAGGAGGGGGUGUUAUGUUUGUAUAUUCUUUUGAUCUGUUUAAUAAAUGUAAGAGAGAUGUUUAAAAUUGGCAACAGUGCCGCAUAUUUAAAAUUGCAUACAACUUUAUUGUGCAGAAACAGAGACAAUUAAAAUGGACCUGCAUGCUCACCUCAUGGCAAAGUAGCAGUAAUGGAAUCCCCGUGGCAAUGCUGCUGGCUAUCUCAUCAUUUUCUGCAAUAUUCACCCACACAUUUAUAGGUAUUUAUUAUGUAAUUAUUGGAGAUGUUGGCUAAAUUCUCACCCAGGUGGUCAGUCUGCUGUGAGCUGGAGCCCCCGUGAUACUCGUCAAAGUUCAAAGACAAUUAUUCCAUUAAAUGCCAACUGUUAGGGAGAAACAUCUGUGCCCUCAAGUCCCACUUAAGGGAUUCCAAUAGGUAUCUGGCUGGCCACUUACGAAACAGGUUGCUGAAUCAGAUGGACCGUUGAUGUGAUUCAGUAGGAUUUUUCCUGUGUUCUUACGGCAGAAUAUUACUCAAAUACACACAACAUCUCUGUACACAGAAAAGUAUCAUGUCAGGGGAAAAGCUAGGCCAGAACUAUUUUCCUUUAUCUGCUACCUUUCUGUUUGUUUUUGUCUUUGUUUUGCAUUUUAAUAUUUAUUGUGUCCAAGAAAGAUCUUUUAAAUAUUGCUGAGAAAUCCUCCCACUUCCUAAAUAUGCUCUGUUUAGGCACGAUACUGCAUCUUCUUCUAAUGUUACAAGAAGGGCUUGAAAGCCAGUUGCAGAAGUUACUGCUCACUUAGCUUCUGGUUCUUCUAAAAAGCCCACAUGCAUUACUUCUGACCAGGGAUUUACACAAUGCAUAGCUAAGGUAUGCAAUUAUGUGACUUAACCAAUCUACGGUAGUUCCUUUUGACUAUUCUAGUCCAAGGGAUCAGGGCUCUAUCUGCAGUUGUGUCCUGAAAAAUGUAGCUUUUCAACAUGGCACUCAAAACUACAAUUUCAAAGAAUGUAGUCAUUUGGCAACAAUAAUUUCAACAUGAUAUAAAGACUCUCUCUCUCUCUCUCUCUCUCUCUCUCUGUGUGUGUGUGUGUGUGUAUGUAUAUUUCUUGAUGGUUCCAAGGUAUUAAAGGAGUUGUAAUAUUGUUUAUGUUGUGUUGUUAUGCUGAAAAUCAUUUAGUGGGACUGCAAGCCCAUAUAUAAAUGAAAUAGAGUGAAUUGUUAAGAGUUGUGGAUAUUAUGGAGGCAUACAAACAGUAUUUUCAGAACACUACAAACUGGCAUGAAGUGAAUGGUUGAGUUGUCAAUAUCACAGGAAAAAAUGCAAACCGGUGUGGAAAUGUGGAGAAUUGAACUUAAGACUGAAAAAAUUAGUAAUGGAAAUUGACAGAUUUGCCUUUCCCCAUCUGCAUCCUGCCCAAACCUGAUGAAGGAGGAGGUCAAAAGUCUGAGGUCCGUGCAUGUAACUCUAAACCAGCCUUUUGUAAGCUGAUUCCCCUCCAUAUGUUUUGGGCUACAACUCUCAUCAGUUGCACGGAAGUUGUUGUAGUAGUUUAGUCGUGUCUGACUCUUCGUGACCCCAUGGACCAGAGCACGCCAGGCACUCCUGUCUUCCACUGCCUCCUGCAGUUUGGUCAAAUUCAUGUUAGUAGCUUCGAGAAUACUGUCCAGCCAUCUCGUCCUCUGUCGUCCCCUUCUCCUUGUGCCCUCCAUCUUUCCCAACAUUAGGGUCUUUUCCAGGGAGUCUUCUCUUCUCAUGAGGUGGCCAAAGUAUUGGAGCCUUAGCCUCAGGAUCUGUCCUUCCAGUGAGCACUCGGGGCUGAUUUAUUUAAGAAUGGAUAGGUUUGAUCUUCUUGCAGUCCAUGGCACUCUCAAGAGUCUCCUCCAGCACCAUAAUUCAAAAGCAUCAAUUCUUCAGCGAUCAGCCUUCUUUAUGGUCCAGCUCUCACUUCCAUACAUCACUACUGGGAAAACCAUAGGUUUAACUAUACGGAUCUUUGUCGGCAAGGUGAUGUCUCUGCUUUUUAAGAUGCUGUCUAGGUUUGUCAUCGCUUUUCUCCCAAGAAGCAGGCAUCUUUUAAUUUCGUGACUGCUGGCACCAUCUGCAGUAAUCAUGGAGCCCAAGAAAGUAAAAUCUCUCACUGCCUCCAUUUCUUCCUCUUCUAUCUGCCAGGAGGUGAUGGGACCAGUGGCCAUGAUCUUAGUUUUUUUGAUGUUGAGCUUACGGAAGUUGUAGCCCUAAACAUCUGGAGGACACCAGUGUGUGGAAGACAGACCUAAACCAUAGUUUAAGCAUUAAGUUUGAUACAGUCGUUGGAUGUGCAUAUAUGUAAAUAUUUCUUGUAUGAAUGAUUUGUGCACCCAAGUGGCUCGCUGACAUACUCAUGAGCUGAAGGAAACACGGCAGCUAUUCACAGGUCUCCAAAGGAACCCAUUGUGUUUAUGCUUCUAAAACUAAACCCUUCAUAGAAUAGGUUUUUGUUUACAUGUAGACUGAAGUGUCACUCAUUCUCAUAAUGCCGCAUUUAUAAAGUGCAAAGAGAAGCAACCUUGAGUAAAAACAGCUGCAAUUACUGUGAAAUAUAGGUGAGGUGUGGGUUUUAAAAAUGCAUUGUGGUUUAAAAGGUGGAGUGGAAUUCUGACCCCACUGAAACUGAAGCUCAUGAAAGUCCCAUUGACUUUGGUGGAGUCAGGGUCUCACUCCUCCACUCUCCAGGCAAUCAGGUUCCACACAUAUAAUUCUCUCUAAAGAGACUGAUUCCAUUGAAAUGGUUCCUGUUGUUCUUUUCUAAGAGGUACUUAACCUGCAGUAACCCUCCCGUCUUUCUCCUAUCUUCAUUUUGCUGCUCAGUUCCCUUCUCCCUUGUAUUACUGAAUAAUAAAUCUGACAUAGAUUAUGUAACAUCCACUGAAUCAUAUCAGGCUGUGGGAGGCUGGAGCACAGCAUAAUGCAAGAUGUAAGGAACACGAAAGAGGAGGUUGAGAGACAAGUGUUUUAAAAAGCGUUUCCCGGGUGCUUACAACUUUAGAAACUUGCACAGAGAACAGUUUCUAAAAAUGAAUUUGCACACAUGAAAUUACAUUUCUUAAAUUAGAAAGUUCCCGGAGCCUUUUAUCUACUGACCACAAGAAGCUUGGUCAGCUUCUUUGUGAACCAUUAAGUUCACCGCCCUGCAUUCUCCUUCCAAAGGCCUUCUUACUUGAUCCACCGCAUAAUAUCAAAGCCAGAGUCACCACUUACUUCACAAUAGCCAAAUCAAAGUUAACCAUUUUCAGAUUUGAAACGAUCCAUGAAUAAGAAGCACUUCAGUGUCCCUGAGUAUCAUCCUAGCAGACAGGGUGGUUUUCUGGUGACAGACCUUCCAAAUCUGCCUUUCACUAUGACUGGUAUGCAACAAGCUUGCAGCAGUUUGUGUAGGUUGGAGCAUCUUUAGCUUCUGUGGAGGUCUUGCAGGCCACAGGUGCUGCAAUUGAGAGAAGGAGACACUUGCUUUUCAGGAGACAAUUCCAUGAGCCAAAUCAUCAGCAUGAGAAAAAGUACAGUGGUACCUUGGUUCUCAAACUUAAUCAGUUCCGGAAAUCUGUUCCAAAACCAUAGAAAGUAAUGCAAAACGGAAUAAUCCGUUCCAGACUUUUAAAAACAACCACUAAAACAGCAAUUUAACAUUAAUUUUACUAUCUAAUGAGACCACUGAUCCAUAAAAUGACAGUAUUGUAGAUGAUAAAAAUUAAUUUUUUUUUUCUUACCUGCAUUGAUGAUAGUCAUUGUUUGGAUGGGGGGCUUUUAUCCAUUUCCGCAGUCACACAAUCAAUCAAUCAGUAGCUGAACUGGGUUCCACACAGUCACAAAAACAAAUUAACCGAAAAAGCCUCAAAAACAAAUAGCAAAAACAAUAGUGCCAAACUUAAUCUGUUCCAGAAGUCCAUUUAACUUCCGAAAUGUUCGAAAACCAGGGCGCAGCUUCUGAUUCGUGCAGGCGCCCCAGAAACAAUAGCCGACAGCCACAUUGGACGUUCGGCUUCCAAAAAAACGUUUGAAAACUGGAACUCUUCUCGGUUUCCAGUGUUUGGGAACCAAGGCAUUUGAGAACCAAGGUGUUUGAGAACCAAAUAUAUAUUAAAGGUUUAGUACUAACUGAGUUUGGUGGAGACACUCUAAUGGAAUGGGGACAGAGCCAUAUGGAGCGUGUCUGAGGCCUAAGGUGGGGGUCUUGUUAGAAUAAAAUUAUAAAUGCAUACAGAAAAGCAGCUGGAUCUCAGUGUCCAGGCUGAAUGAUGGGGAUGGAGACGCUUCUUCAGGUAUAUAGGACGGAAGACAUUUAGGGCUUUAAAGGUAAGCGCCUUCACUUUGAAUUGUGCCUGGAAACAUACCGGGAGCCAAUGCAGGUCUUUCAGGACUGGUGUUAUAACCCUCAAAGCUUUUGCCUGGUGUCUAAAGAUAUGUAACGAAGGUGCCAGGUGAGCCUCCCUAGGGAGACCAUUCCACAAAUGGGGAGCUACCACAGAAAAGGCCAUUCUCUUGUGUUGCCAUUCACUGGAUGUCCCUUGGAAGAGGCACACAAAGAAGGGCUUCAGAUGAUGAUCUAAGGGUCCGGAUUGGUUCAUAUGAGGAGAGGCAGUUAUUGGUAACUAAUUAAGUGCUUCCCAUAAAGUAUCCCAAAAUGAUUUAAUAAUAAAAAUAGUUUGGCUUGAUUGGAGUACUUCAAAAGCUCUUACUACUUUUGGGGGACAACCACAGGGGUAAUCAUCCAUUCUUUACCUCAUUGUCUGUGCCACAGUGAUAGGCUUCCUGUUGGCUUGCUUUUCACAGUGCUCCAGUCCUGUGGAUAGCUGGAAGGCUGGAUAGCUGAUAUGAACUCAGUGGUAGUCAGCUGACACAAAGGGCCAACAGGGUUUCACCUAGUCCUAUAAAGAUUCUAACCUAGCUCUUAACCCUGAGGAACCUGUUGACUGGAAACAGGCUGAGGUACUCUCAAACCAUCUCUACUGCCCACUGACUUUGCUCACAACUUCACUGCUUCCAGCUUUCUGGCCUCCAGACCGUAAGGCCGGGCAAAUACGAUCUUGCUUUGCACCUCCUCCUAGUUCCAGAAGUCGUGAAGUCUGAUUCAUGAAACAGAUGUGUAUGCAUCAGAUGUUUUGCUUACACAUCCCAUAGUAUAUCUAUAAAUAACAUGAUAGUAUGUCUUGGCAGAUAAAACACAAGAGGAAGGAAAGAUGAAGCAAGAACAUCUCUCCCUGUGUUUUCUGCAAGGUCAAGUGAGAGGUCACUUCAGUAAUGGGGAAGCAAACAGAGGGUAUAAUAACUCUGCAACAAAAUCAACCCAGACCCAUACUGGAAUGGGAUAGGCAUCUAUUCUGCCUCAUUUUAGUCUCUCUGGCACUCAGUCAUAGGUCUAUCCUGUCUUGUUGCAUUCUGUUCCAUCCCAUUGUAUGCUGUUUGUGUGAACUUUGUAUGUAAAAUGUGCACAUUUAUGUAAAAUGUGCUUUUCAAUGUUUUGCAUGCAUCUUUCAUUCAAAAACAAAAAACCCUAUCGCUACCAGAAAAUCCCAGUUUCUCCACAUCUCUCUUUGCAGUUCCCAAUGACUUAGGCCAUUGAAUCCUGUUCAGCCUCACCUCUUUGCUGGCGGGCGAAUCUUUGAAGUACAUUUCAGUUGUCUUGUAAUGACGAUGUUUCAAAUCCAGUGACCCUGAAAUGCUGUCAUUCAUAAGAAGGUGACACCUAAGCCUGAAAACUCCAAGAGAAAGCCCCAAAGCUAUAAGCCAGGCUAUUAGAAAAGCUUUCAAAUAGCUGCUUCAAUGACAUAUGGUAUUUCGGUUUCUGGGUAUUCUGCAAAUAACCUUGUACUCCACCACAGCAGUUCAUUGCCAUACUCCAUUUCUUGCCACGAUCCUGUACCCAUCCCUGUCAUUUCACACCACACUAUAUAUCUUAAUCCUCCUUGUUGUUAAUAUAGCAUCCCUGCCCACCUAUCCCCAGCCCAGAAAAGACCGGUCCUUUCAAGCACUCCCUCUGCAUAACUCUUUGCUUCUGUGGCACUUGUUCAUAAGCAAUGGCGAUGCCUAUAAUAUUUUUCUCCCUUUAGGCAGUGAGAUGCAUCGGGGGGGGGAGAGAAUAAAUGGGUAGAAGUUCCGUGCAGGAGAACACAGGGAAAUUGUACCGAGUUGCAUGGUUUAUAAUGUUCACUGAAUUCAGCUUAUCCCGCCUCAGAACUUUGAUCCCCUGGCUGCAGAGUUUUAAUUUUGCUUUCUACAGCCCUGUUUAUCAGCCACAGAGCUCUGUGACCAUUCAAGCUGAAGUCUCUAGGCAAAGUCUGAAGUUUCCUCCAAGAGCUGCCAAGUUGCAUUUGAAACUGACGAGGGAGAAAGGAAGAUUAGUCAGUUCCAGAGACUGCGGCAGUCCAUCUAUGUGUACUGAUUUUUGAAUCACACAACUUUGUGCAACUGCAAUGGCAGUGUGGUGUGUCGCUCAUCCUCAGUGUUGCCGCUAGCAGUGUGCAAAAGGUGUCUCUCGUGUGAUAUCCAUGCAACCAUACUCCCAACAGUGCUCCAGAUUGCAAUGGACUCUGCAGCUGAGAGAAACUAUACAUACACUCAGCAGCAGCAAUCAUUUACUCAGCAUUCAAAGUGCAAACAGAAGGUUGUCGCAGUCAUGGAACCACAUUCCUGACUGUACUUUAGGUCACUGUGGCUUUUGCAGCCGGCGCAAAAUGUCCCAUAUUCCUAGCAAUACAAUUGUACUUUCCCAGCCAUUCAAAAUGCAGCAUCUCUAUAAUGAAGAGAUGGGAUUUCCUAGAUGGGAGAUGUUUGGAUCCUACACAGUAGAUGAGCAGUAACCACACAUUUGUUGUGAAUUAAAUGGAUCAUUUGGUGAAGCUUGAAAUCCACAUUGGCAAAAAGACACAAGCACACACACAUUUUAUCUGCACAACAGCCUUGUGGGUAUGAUAGCCUGUGACACAGAGAGAGAGAGAGAGAGAGAGAGCGCGUUUCAAGGUUGAGUGGAGAUUUGAACCCUGGAUCAGCCCAGUCUUAGUCUGAUAUGUCAACCAUUAUGAACAGAUAUGUACAUAUGACACCUCAAAAAAAUUAGUGCACAGCUUACCUGAACCAUGGGGGAAAGCUGCUUUGUAUAUUAUUGUAAAAAGAUGGAGUAUAAGUUUUUGUUAUCAUCAUCAGUCUAGUAUUACUAAAGUCUCUGACUUGAUGGCACCAGUGUUCAUUUUAGUGUUUAUUGAAUAAUGCAGGAAUUGAUUCUACAGUUCUCCGUUUGCAACCAUAAUGCAUCUACAUACCUCAGCAGACCUCUGAACCAUCACAAGAUUCUCCAUCAGCUCCUUAAAAGAGCAACUUAUUUAGCUGUUACAAGCAAAGGAAUGUUUAAAAUCUGGUUGCGUACUUGCAUCUCUCUUGAGUCGAACAAUGACGUCUGUUUCAGUCAACUGCUUGGUGUUCUGGAUGAAGAUAAGCUUUUGGAAACGUACAUUUCCAGGUGCUUUCUUUUGCAGUUCUAAUUCAGCCAGGCAGCCCAUCUGACUGCCAGUGGCCUAUGUGUAUUGGAAAUACAGCUCAUGCUAGUCUCCCACCCAUCUGCACAAUUUGCAGAGAUUACACCUGAACCAGCAAUUGGCUGCCCAGGUAAGCUCCCACUUUUUGAUGUGAGGAAGGUUAUUGCCUCUUCCAGGUAGACUUUCUUUACUUGUGAUCACUCCUGCAUCCAAUCAGGAGCAUGAACAGCUUGUUUAUAGAUGUCCUGGGGUGGAGUUAAGGGUCAAGGUUAGGAUGCAAGGGGAAGUAACACAGGGAAGGGAAAUGGUUCUGUGAAAAGUAGAAGUGCAUCACCCUUGGCCGUUAUCACAUUAUUGAAUCCUCCCUUUUUUCCAUGAUGAAACUCAGGACAGAAUAUAUAGAAUUCCCAGGAGAUUCCUCCAUCCAGGAAUUGACAUCACAUCCAGACCAGCUUCUAUAGGGGUGUCACUGGAAAAAAACUAGUUUGGGGAAGGGGAAGAGUGUCAAAAAAAGCCAUUCUGGCCAAGCUAAGCCUCCUGAUGUAUAUUUUCCCUCCUAAUCUGUAUUUUAGUUUGGUCAGAAUCAAGUAUACACUUCCAAAGUUAACACUAAAUAAAUUUGUGUCCCUGGGUUUUAGACUCACCUACCCAUGUACUAGGGAUGCGGGUGGCGCUGUGGGUCAGGGGUCCCUUUACCUUUACCCAUGUACUAUCUGAAACCCAAGAGGCACAUUGGAGGGAUGCGGGUGGCGCUGUGGCUUAAACCACUGAGCCUAGGGCUUGCCGAUCAGAAGGUGGGCGGUUCGAAUCCCCGCAACGGGGUGAGCUCCCGUUGCUCAGUCCCUGCUCCUGCCAACCUAGCAGUUCAAAAGCAUGAAGUGCAAGUAGAUAAAUAGGUACCGCUCCGACGGGAAGGUAAACACCGUUUCCAUGUGCUGCUCUGGUUCGCCAGAAGCGACUUCGUCAUGCUGGCCACAUGACUCGGAAGCUGUACGCCGGCUCCCUUGGCCAAUAAAGCAAGAAGAGCACUGCAACCCCAGAGUCGUCCACAACUGGACCUAACAUUCAGGGGUCCCUUUACCUUUACCCAUGUACUAUCUGAAACCCAAGAGGUGCCUUGGUUGCCAGGUGUUUCCCCCCAGCUCUUCUACCCCACUAUUGCUCCUUGAACACAAUUGGGAUUUACUAUUCCUUUUGCAAGUGGAGAUGGAUCCACCCCUUGGUCUAUCUUGAGUGGACCUGCAAACACUGGAGCCUGUUUCAUCGCCCCAAAGCCCAGAGUCUGAUGGCUGGUCCACAGGGAAUAAGAGACUCAUGAGAAGAGAUACCCCUAAGGAGAAACUGAAAGGUCCAAGAUUACCAAGGUAAGAAGGUAGCUAUUUCUCUAAAAUGGGCAUGUUUCCAUAUCCCUUUAGUAGGAAGGGAUGUGAGGUCAGGUUGCAAAACUACAUUUAGAACAGGGGUGGGGAAUUUGAGGGUUGCAUUUCCUUGGGGAAACGUGAGUAGGGUGGACCACAUUCAUGAUGGGUGGGGCUGGAUUUGGUGGUGGGUGGCGGCCAAGCCCAAAGUGGGUGGGGCCAUGUCUCUAUCUUCUAAUCUCAGCAGUAUAAGAAGGAGCUGUACUGCAGGGACUCCUCCCAUACCUUAAAUGUCACAGGGGAAAGACGCCCUCAUGAAAUCCAGGGCCUUUUGUAGCACCAUGGAGGCUUUAAACAAACUAAGCUUAAAAAGUUGCAUUGCUGGGAUUGACUUACAUAGUCAGCUUUCCUCCUUUUUGAAACAAAGGCAUGGCGGCAGUAGCAGCAGCAACAGCAGCAGCAGACGCUAUGUUAAUUAGAUUAGAAACCGUCAGGUCUUGUUGAUAGUAUUCAAGUUACAGAAGGCUCUCCAGAGACAAAGCAGUAAAUAAGAAAUAUCUGCUAUCUCUUGGCAUACAGAACAACUCGAAGGAAGCAUCUCUGCAUCUUUGGCUGGGUACCGAUAACUGCAGCAGCCUGCAAUCCUGCACAUAGUUAGGUGCUUAAAUGCCGUUGAAACCAGAGGCUGUUAAGCAGCUUGAAUGUAUGCAGGAUUGCAGCCAGUUGCUUCUCAGAAGCCAGACAUUGGCAUAAUGCGCUUACAGUGGGCAUAGUUCACGUGUGCUUGUUUGGGGGCACUGUUAUAUCUGGUCAAAGAGGUUUUGUACAUUUUUGAAGCACUAAAAAAACUUGCGGUACCUGUUGAAUUGGAGACAAAUUGAGGUGGGAGAAAUUCCCUGGCAUUUUAAAGAAUAAAUCUUAUGUUUUGUUUUGUUUCCCCCCAUUUUUUUUAAGGCAUUGAAAACUGGAUAGAGCAGCUCAACAGCAGUCUUAAUAUUGAAUAUGCUCAGUGUGGGGACCUCAUAGGAAGACACAAAGACUGAUGCUCUAGCGUGUGCUCUCUCGCUCCCCCUCCCUCACCUAGAUCACAGCUGGUGACCAGUUUAUGUAUACUGAAGCGGGGAGCCUGAUAGGCUUUGUAAUGUCAUCCUAGAUAGCUUCACCAUUGAUGUUUCCCCUAUGCAUAGACAUGCAGAGAGUGACAUCAAACGCUGGCUGUCCCUGUGCCGUUAUUUUCAAAAGGACAGAAAGUCUUGAUGGUUGCAUGCUGCGGUGGUAACCUAUAGGCUGGCUUCUGGGUUCAAGGGCAUUCGCAGGUUUUCAAAGAAGUUCGUCUCCGUGUCACAUCCGCCGCAUCCAGCAACUCAGAAUACACAAAUGCCCUGCAAAAUCUGCAGAGCUGCCGGUAAUUUAUGGCAAUAGGGUUGCUUGACAUUUAUUGCCCUUAUUUGCUGUGGCCUAGAAUAAGAUUUUCAUAGUUAUCAUGACAACCUUGAAAUUGCAUAAAGGUAAUAAAACAGCCUUCUUCCAUGCUACCGUGUGCCAAACUACACAGGCGUGUGUCAACAGUCCUGUUUUAACAUUUGCAUGCCUUCGUUUUUAUGCAUAUAUGCCUGGAAGCUUAGUCAAAUAACUCCUAAGCAUAGUUAUUAAACAAAAAAAUGGGGACGUGAAAAUAAGCAUUGCCACUUGUAAGCUGCACCAGCAUAUUAAAUGUGUGUUCAUUAACAAAAAAAUAAAUUAAAAAG